rnacentral:rRNA from 1 species
CGUUAUGGUUCUAUUUUGUUGGUUUCUAGGACCAUCGUAAUGAUUAAUAGGGACGGUCGGGGGCAUCAGUAUUCAGUUGUCAGAGGUGAAAUUCUUGGAUUGAUUGAAGACUAACUACUGCGAAAGCAUUUGCCAAGGACGUUUUCAUUAAUCAAGAACGAAAGUUAGGGGAUCGAAGAUGAUCAGAUACCGUCGUAGUCUUAACCACAAACUAUGCCGACUAGAGAUUGGGCUUGUUUAUUAUGACUAGCUCAGCAUCUUAGCGAAAGUAAAGUUUUUGGGUUCUGGGGGGAGUAUGGUCGCAAGGCUGAAACUUAAAGGAAUUGACGGAAGGGCACCACCAGGAGUGGAGCCUGCGGCUUAAUUUGACUCAACACGG